CAUGGCUCAGAGUGAACGCUGGCGGUAGGCCUAACACAUGCAAGUCGAACGGCAGCACAGAGGAGCUUGCUCCUUGGGUGGCGAGUGGCGGACGGGUGAGGAAUACAUCGGAAUCUACUCUGUCGUGGGGGAUAACGUAGGGAAACUUACGCUAAUACCGCAUACGACCUACGGGUGAAAGCAGGGGAUCUUCGGACCUUGCGCGAUUGAAUGAGCCGAUGUCGGAUUAGCUAGUUGGCGGGGUAAAGGCCCACCAAGGCGACGAUCCGUAGCUGGUCUGAGAGGAUGAUCAGCCACACUGGAACUGAGACACGGUCCAGACUCCUACGG
rnacentral:rRNA from 1 species